rnacentral:snRNA from 1 species
GUGACAGAAGAGAGUGAGCA